GACGAACGCUGGCGGCGUGCCUAACACAUGCAAGUUGAGCGAGAGACUUCGGUCUCUAGCGGCGGACGGGUGAGUAACACGUGGGUAACCUGCCUCAUAGUGGGGGAUAGCCUUCCGAAAGGAAGAUUAAUACCGCAUAUACUCUCGAUACCACAUGAUAUUUAGAGGAAAGGAGCAAUCCGCUAUGAGAUGGACCCGCGGCGCAUUAGCUAGUUGGUGAGGUAACGGCUCACCAAGGCGACGAUGCGUAGCCGACCUGAGAGGGUGAUCGGCCACAUUGGAACUGAGACACGGUCCAGACUCCUACGGGAGGCAGCAGUGGGGAAUAUUGCACAAUGGGCGAAAGCCUGAUGCAGCAACGCCGCGUGAGUGAUGACGGCCUUCGGGUUGUAAAGCUCUGUCUUUUGGGACGAUAAUGACGGUACCAAAGGAGGAAGCCACGGCUAACUACGUGCCAGCAGCCGCGGUAAUAC
rnacentral:rRNA from 1 species